rnacentral:misc_RNA from 1 species
AUUCAUCAUGUAAGAAAAACCAGGCACUGAAAACAACGAUGAGCUCCUUUUAAUGAAUCGUCCUUUCAGCCUAGGCCUUUUUUCUGCGUUCAAUUUCCUAACUUCAUAUCGAAUUUUCUUCGAAAACAAUCUGUUCUGUCUCUUCUCUCUGUAACGCGAUACCCUUGCUUCUCUUCCUCCAUCGCCACAUCUUACAUGUCCCCCAUAAUUACCUACACUUGUUUCCGAGAAAAAAUCGGGCCAGUAGUCAUCAGGAUUGAAAUGGGGUCGGAUUCCAUUUGUCCAUGGAGAAGAUUGAUUUGGCCAAGCACUAAUAACCG